rnacentral:lncRNA from 1 species
CUGGUUUGUCUUCAGAAGUUACUUGAACUUAUCCAAAACACUGGUUGCCAAAAUUAACAUCUAAUGAACUUCACUUCAGAAGCUUGGUUGAACUCUUUUGAAGAAGCUUCAGAGUCUUGUUCUCUUUGAAAGAGCUUUCAGAGCAUGGUUACGAAUUCUUCUUAAAGUGCUUCAGAGCCUUAUUAUAAACCUUAAGACUUGGUUGAAUCAAUUCUGAUUAACAUGGAAUUCAUAAUUCCUCAGAACUUGAUGUCUGGUUAUGAUUCCUCAUAGAAAUAUUUAUCAAACAGUAAAGUUAAAGCUUCAAACUCAGAGAGUCGACCAUUUCUUCAGAAACUGGUAACUUAAGUUCUGAUCUAAAAAACUUCAAGAGCUUAUGAUGUUCUUGACUAUUCCCUAAAAGACAAUUAACAAACUAUUCUUCGAAGUAGUUGCUAGCAGAAACAUUAAAAAAUGUUUGGGUUCUUAAUCACGAAUAUAGGUAUAUCAAAAUCAAUUACGUUUCUCCCCCAUUACCAUCGACCAAAAAGACAUAGACAAAAAUAAUGUAAAGAGACAAACAUGGUUUCAUUGAAUUAUGCCAGAAGGAGGAAAUAGUACAAUCAUGUUAAAAAGACAAAAACACAAAAACACUUAAACAAAAUAAAAACAUAAAAGUGCAGAGACUAUUUUGAAAACUAAGGGUUUUGUGGCAGAGGAGGAGGCAAAACAUUUGGGUAGUCAUUAGGUAGAUUGAAGGGAUCCAUCAAAGGAUCAAUAUUAUCCUUGAGGCAACUUUCCAUGUAGUACGCCAAGACUUCCAGAGGAUCAACCUUGGUGAAGAUAGGAUAGUUUUCAGAUGGGAUUCUACUACCAGAUAUUUCUUCCCUGGAGAUAGGAGUGUUCUUAUCGGCGACUGAAUGAGGAGGAGAUUGUGGUUGCUAUUAUUGUUGUUGUUGAUCAGCCAUUGAAGAAUGUUGAAGAUGAAGAAGAAAAAUUACGGAGAGGGUGUUUGAAGGUUUGAAGCAGAGAAACGUGUGGGAGUAAUUGUGAUCUUAGUGUGAAAAUGUGAGUGAAGUGGGUCUAUAUAAGGAAAAAAUUUGCAAUGAUUAAAAGCUAACAAAUAUGCAGACAUAUGAGGAAGCUUAAGAGAUUUUAACCUAAUUCCGAGAAAUGUAAAGCCCAAUGUAUCACGCCAUCAUCAUGCAUUCUCAGAAAGUGGGGCAACUGUCACACUAAGAACCACAUGAUACUACAUGAAAUGAUAAUCAUUUAAUGCAACAACUGUUUAAAAUCAAGAAGAAAAAUCAAUAAGAUUGCUUUUGAUCAGAGCCUUUCUGAUUCAUGAAACUUCCUCACUUUAGAAAGCUCAUGUCUCAUAAACAACAAAUAAAUUCUCAGAACCUAAUCAAGAGUUCUGGAAGCUUAACAUUAUGAAAUUCAUCUUUUUCAUUCUGAACAAGAGUCAAUAAAUAAGUAUUUCCAGAAUGAAAACGAAUCUAUCUUCAGCAACAAAUUUUGUAAAGAUAUCAGCCCAUUAAUGGUAUGUAUCAAUAAAAUUUAAGUGAAAAAUACUCUUCUGAACAUAGUCACGUGAAAAAUUAUGUUUAAUUUCAAUAUGUUUAGCCCUAGAAUGCAAGAUAGAAAUCUUGGAUAAAAAAAUAGCAAAAGUAUUAUCACAUAGAAUAGGAAUGUUACUCUUAAAUAUCUUAUAAUCUUCCAGUUGACUCUUCAUCCAGAGUAUCUGAGUGUUGCAUCUAAAAGCUGUGAUAUACUCAACUUCGGCUUUUGAAAGCGCAAUUGUUGACUACCUUUUGCUAGACCACGAGAUCAGAUUGUCUCCUAGAAACUGACAACUUCCAAAAGUACUUUUCCUUUCUAUUUUGUCUCCAGCAUAAUCAACAUCACAAUAGCCUAUUAAUUUGUAUUCACUCGAUUUUCUAUAAAACAAACCAAGGUUAGUGGUACCGCUCAGAUACCUAAAGAUUCUCUUAACAAUAGUUAAGUGAGUUUCCCUAGGACCUGAUUGGAAGCAAUCACACAAAUAGACACUUAAUAAAAUAUUAGGUCUAGAAGCGGUUAAAUAAAUGAGAGAACCUAUCAUACCUCUGAAUAUCUUCUGAUUUACCUUACUGCUUACCUCUUCCUUCUCUAAAAUUCAUGUAGGAUGCAUUGUAGUCUUCACUGGCUUGCAUUCUGACAAGUUAAACUUUUUUAGAAGUUCCCUUGCUUACUUACUUUGGUGGAUGUACGUUCCUUCUGAACGUUGAUCAAUUUGAAUUUCUAGAAAGAACUUGAGUUCUCCCAUCAGACUCAUUUCAAAUUCUGCCUAAAUUGACUUAGCAAAAUCCUUGCACAACGAAGUAUUAGCAAAACCAAAAAUAAUAUCAUCAACACAAAUAUGCACAACUAGAAUAUCAUUCUUAAAGGUUUUGCAAAAAGGAUUUGUGUCUACUUUCCCCCUGGUAAAAUCAUUUUCCAAAAGGAAGUUACUUAAUCUAUCAUAUAAAGCUAUGUGAGCUUGUUUCAGACCAUAUAACGAUUUUUUCAAUUUGAAAACAAAAUCAGGGUUUUGAGAACUUUCAAAACUAGGAGGUUGGUACACAUACACUUCUUCUGAAAUGUAUCCAUUUAAGAAUGCACUCUUAACAUCCAUCUGAUAAAGAAUGAUGUUAUGAUUUACUACAAAUGAAAUUAAAAGACGAAUAGACUCUAACCUGGAAACUGGAGCAAGGUUUAUGUAUAGUCUAUACCUUCUUGGUGAUUAUAACCUUGUGCUACCAGUCGAGCCUUGUUUCUGACGACUUCUCCAUUCUCAUUGAGAUUUUUUCUAAAAACCCAUAUGGUUCCAAUGACAUGGAAACCCUUUGGUUUCUGAACAAGAUCCCAGACGUCGUUCCUGGUGAACUGAUUUAGUUCCUCUUGCAUAGCCAUAAUCCAUUCAUUAUCCAGAAGAGCUUCAUCAAUAGAUGUAGACUCUAUCAGACCCAUAAGAGUUUCUUCAGAAGGUUUGAAUGAAGAUCGAGUUCUGAAUGGUGCAUCUUUAUCUCUUCUGAUGAGUUGGACCAACAAUGGCUUUUGGUUGAGUCGCUUCUGAGUCUUUUGCUUCAGUGUCCUUAGCUUUGCCUUCUGAGUUUUUAUAUCUGCAAAUUUUUGAGAAAUUAAUCUUCAUAUCUGCAAAAUUCUCAACUAGCUUUGACUUUUCAGGGUCAAGCUUAUCAUUAAAUCUAACAUGAAUUGAUUCUUCAAUAACUUGUGUCUCAGUGUUAAAGAAUAUGUAUCCUUUUAAGUGGUAAGAAUAUCCUAAUAAUAAGCACUUUUGAGCCUUAGAAUCAAACUGGCCAAGAUUCUCUUUAGAGUUCAACAUAAAAUACUCACAGCCAAAAAGAAUGGAAGUAAGAAAUGUUGGGCUUUUUGUUCUUCCACAAUUCAUAUGGAGUCUUACCCAUAAUAGGUAUAGUAGAAAUCAUGUUCUGAGUAUAACAAGUUAUGUUAAUUUCUUCUGCCAAAAAAUGCUUAGCCAUAUCAGUCUCUUGGAUCAUGGUGUAAGACAUUUCUUGCAAAGUCCUAUUCUUCCUUUUUACAACCCCAUUUUUUGUGGAGUUCUAGGACAGGAGAAAUCAUGGGAAAUUCCAUUUACAUCAAAAAUAUUGUUAAAAUGUUUAUUUUCAAAUUCGCUACCAUGGUCACUUAUGACUCUGACUAUUUUACAAUCCAUCAUAUUUUCACUUAUGAGCAGAAAGUAGAGAACACAAAAUGUGACUCAUCCUUGUGUUUCAAGAACUUUACACAUGUCCAACAACUAUAGUCAUCAACGAUGACCAAUCCAUACUUCUUACCACUGAUAGAGGCAAUUUUCACUGGCCUAAACAAAUCAAUAUGCAUAAGUUCUAACGGUCUAGAGGUAGAAAGAAUAGUUUUCACUUUGAAAGAUGGUUUAAAAAACUUGCCUUUCUGACAUGCUUCAUAAAGAGCAUUUGAAGCAAACUUCAGUUUGGGUAAACCUUUGACUAAUCCAAGCUUAUUUAGCUGAGAAAUCCUUCUCAUUGCUAACAUGGCCUAAACAUCUAAUCCAUAUCCAUUGCUCCUUAUUAAUAGACAUUCAUUAUUUUACAUUUUGAUCCUCAAGAUCAGAAAGUCUGAUUUUAUAAAUGUUGUUCUUCCUCUUUCUGUUAAAAAGGAUUAUACCAUCUUUCUGACUAAUAACCUUAAAUGACUUUUGAUUAAAAAUGAUAUCAUAACCAUUUUCACUAAGUUGACUAAUAGACAAUAAGUUAUGCAUCAAACUAUCGACCAAAAGGACAUUAGUAAUCGAAGGGAGAUUACCAUUACCAAUAGUUCCAGAGCCAAUGAUCUUCCCUUUCUGGUUUCCUCCGAAACCAACGAAGCCUUCAGGCUUAAGUUCCAAAUCUUGGAACAUAUACCUUCUUCCAGUCAUAUGUCGCGAGCAUCCAUUGUCCAGGUACCAUGAUUGGUGUUUCAAUUGAGAUGUUAUGGAUGUAUGCAACAUAGAUGAUCUUAUCCUUAGGUACCCAUUUUUUGGGCCCUCUUUUGUUAGUUUUCCUAGAGUUUCAUACACCCUUGUGUCUUUAUGCAACAUGAUAAUCAAGUGAAAUUUGUGCAUGAUACUUAGGUUUCAGAAUUGAGUUCUUAUCCUUUAUAAGUUUCCGUGUCUGUGCAGAAAAAUAAAGCUCUGUGCCAGCAGGCGCGAAAUGCUCAUAGAGAGGUUUCAGUUUACCUUCUGACUUUCAUCGGGUUUUGUAGUUUCUAUACAACCUAAACCUUUUUUUCCAUUUCUGCUAACUCCAUAGAUCAAAGAAGCUAUUUUUCUUCUAUCUACGCUUUUAGCCAGAAAGUAGUAGAAUGCUUUAUUAUAUCUAAUGGUGCAAUCAGUACCAAAAGCUUCUAAGACUAUUUCUUCUUCUAGCUUUGAGAUUUUACUUUUCAACACAGAGUUGUUACUUUCUAAAGAAAAUAUUUGUUCAUUUAUGGAAGAAAUAUAUUUCUUAAGCUCACUACGAGUUUCAGAAGCAACUACUUGGACUUGUUUAUGGUCUUUGUACCUACUCUGAAGACUUUGGUACUUUUCCAGUAUUUCAGAGAGACACGACUCUAAAUCAGAACGAGAUAAUCCAUAAAAUACCUCUUCAGAAUUGGAGUCUAAUUCAGAUUUUGACAAUAUCAUAUCUUCUGGUUCUUCAGAACCUUUUGGAUUAGUUGUAGUUUCCAUCAAUCCAACAUUGGCCUGUUCUUCAUCAAAAUCUUCUUCUUCGGAUUCUGAGUCAUCCCAUGUAGCCAUCAUCCCUUUCUUGCCUUUAGAAAACUUCUUCUUAGGCCUUUUGUCAGUUUUCAACUUAGGACACUCAUUCUUGUAGUGGCCUGACUCCUUGCACUCAAAGAAAAUAACCUUUUUACCAGAACCUUGCUUAUUUUGUCCAGACAAAGAAUCAUAAUGACCAACAAUCCUCCUAGAUCCUCUAAACUUUCCUUGACCAUUAUGCAUAUGCCUCCAGAGUCUGUUGACCCUCUUGGAAAUCAAAUACAACUCAUCAUCAUCUUCUGAGUCUGAAGCUAGCGAAAAUAUACCCGAACGCAUCGCAUGCUAGAACAUACAACAGAGUCUCCAUCGAACUUUAUUUAUUCCCUAAGGAAAGGAAAAAUAUCGAUAAAACCCGGGGAAAGACAAAUAUGGGUAAGGAAGUUGGUUAUGCAAGGGGAAGAUAUUAGCACCCCUAACAUCCAUGGUAUUCCAUGGGAACUGCUUUGAUCUUUCUUUGCUCGAAUGGGUGUUCUAUCUAGGGAUUACUCGCAAAAGAAUAAGGGGAAAGGAAAGAAUAGAUAAAGUGCUCGGUGGGGAUUAAGACCCUUAUGCCUACAUAUCCUUAUAGUGAACUAAGGAAUUCAAAGCUCCGUAGUUCAUGGAACUAGUGGUGGGAGAUGAAAAGAAGUUGUGAUAAUGAAUAUGGUAUGAACCAAAGGAUUAUAUUGUUUGAACUCCAAAAGGGGAUGAAAUCUAAACCCAAGAGUAAAACUGGCGUUGACCAAUAUGUGGACUAGCCGGAAGCGUCUGCCACUAUAUAUGGUAUAUCCAAAAAUAAAGAGGAUUACGUGUUUGUAUACGAUACAAACAUCUCUUGGUUCAAAAGCAGACAUAAGAUGAAGUUUAAAGAGAUAACAAGUAUAUCACAUGGAGUGAACGGAGGUAGGAAUAUGAAUGCACCAUGGAGAUGAUUGGAAUGAAAUGAAUAAAUAUGCUCGAUGGAGGAUUCGAACCCUCGUGCCUAUGUAUUCUCAUCAUGCAAUGAGAAAGUCAGAGCAUUCGUAGUUCGUAGAACCAUGAUAACAAAGAGAGAGAUUGAUAGUGAUGAAAAGUAUAACUUAUAUCAUUAGGAUGGUAACAUGGGAACAUACAAACGAGAGUGAACUUUGAACCGAAGAGUAAACAGACGUCUUAGCCAAAAAAGAAGGAAUUAAAUGUUUGGAUACGGGCCAAAGAACUCUUGAUUCACAAGGUGGACUACCGUUAUAUACCACUUGCUGGGGAACAAUCAAUUUGAAAUCAAAGAAGAAUAAUACCUUGAAUCCAUGAAGGAAUAGACUCUGAACCGAAGAGUAAAUAGGCGUCUUAUCCAAAAAGAAAGAAUUAAGUGUUUAGGUACGAGCCAAACAACUCUUAGUUCACAAGGUGGAUUUCCGCUAUAUCGUCCUAAAAGGGUGUACAUGGAGUCCAUGAGAAGUAUCUUUCGAUCUCAAAAGAUGGUAUUGAUUGAUGAAUGAAGAAAUGAUGAAUAAAUAGGGUAGCUCGCGAAGAAUCUGAAUUCUCCUGCCUACGUAUUCUCACCGUGCAAUGAGAAAGUCAGAGCUUUCGUAGUUCAGCCUACUACAGCUGGAGCAAAGAAAGAUAUUUGAUAGGAUUUCCAAGAGGCAAAGCAAAUUGCUUAACAAGCAAGAGUGUGGCAUUAACCAAUGGUGGUAAUCAACCACAGGGUAUUAAUGAGAUAUGAUUGUCCUACACACGAGAGGAUUUAUAAGGCAAGGGAGCUUCGUCUAUGCACGAGAGGUCUUAUAAGACAAACAAAUGAUUAAGGGGGUUUGCCAAGGCACCAGAGGACUGAUAAGGCAAACAAUGAUUGACUAGAGUGGACCUAAGCAUAAAAGGCAUGAUAAGGCUCACAGUGAUUGAAUAGGGGUUGCCAAAGUACAAGAGGACUGAUAAGGAAAACAAUUAUUGACUAGAGUGGGCCUAAGCACAAGAGGUCUGAUAAGGCUCACAAUGAUUGAAUAGGGUUUGCCAAAGCACAAGAGGACUGGUAAGGCAAAUAAUGAUUGAGUUGAUUGAUUAGGAUUCAAAGACUUGAUCACAAAAGGUAUCUGAAUAUCAAGGAGAGUGCGAUUAGUGAUCCAAAGAAGAAAGAAUGAUUACUGGUCCACUGAGGAGAUAAUGAUUGAUGUGCAAUGGUUGUUCACUAUUGAAAAAGAUAAGAUUGAUUAGUGCUUGAUUGAAGAAGACUUGUCAAUUGUAUGAUUCAAAUUGCACUAAAGUCUAUGAACAAAAGCAAAUACCUUGAGCACCUGGGUCAUUCUUCCCAUACCCAAGGAUACCCUAAACAAGGAUAGGAAUUCUCCACUCUCAUCAUUCUUUAUUACUUAAGGCUCAUGGCGUACAACUUGAAUCAGAAUUGACCCGUUACUGAUAGGAGAUUCUAAUGAUUGAUCUUGAUGAUGUAAUUCUACUUGUUAUAGAAGAAGACUUGAUAGUCAUUUUAUUUGAAUUAUGCUAAUGUCCAUGAACAAAGGCGAAUAACGUGAGAAAAUGGCUCAUUCGUCCCAUACCUAAGGAUACCCUAGACAAGGAUAAGAAUUCUCCACUCUCAUCAUUCUUUGUUUCUUAAGGCUUGUGCCAUACAAUCUGAAUUAUGAUUGACAAGUGUUGAUACCUUUGAUGUGCUUGAGAAGUAGUCCACUUUAUCAACUAUGCUUCAUUGGCAUUGACUUUAAAGUCUUGAUCUUGAAUUUGAACCUUGAGGUCUAGGGCUCUUAAGAUUCAGCAUGCCUAAUACAUCUUGAGCACAAUGGACUUUCCCUAUUGUAAGACCCCAAUUUUGACCCUAAGAUCCCUCAUGCUAUCUCAUCAUUUGCAUUGGCUUUGGGAUCACACCUUUGUAUCCUCCUUACCCCUCAUUCAUUGGGUUUGCAUUGGGAGAGAUCACCAAGUACAUUUAAUUGUAUCAUACUUUGUUUUUCAUUAUUUACUAAUCAAAAUACCAAAAAUAUGUCUAUGUAUGGCUUGUUUCUUUUGUAGAUAAUGUGUGCAUCCACCAAGGCCUCAUCAAGCUCACAAUUAGGGUUUGAGACCCUCAGUGUAAGGAGAUUAAUCAAGAGAUGGUUCACAUUGGUUCUAGACAUAAUAUAUGGAUCCCAAUUAUAUUCAUUUACCAUUUUGAUCAAGAAAUCAUCAAGAGUUUGAAGCUUGUUUACCUUGGAAGCCCUAAUUCAUCUGGGUAUCUUGUGUGACUUCCUUAACAAGUUUCUUCAACAUUUGAUCAAAUAUAUUAAGGUAUACUUAAUAAUACAUAAUCUUAUACAUAUAUUAUCCUCCAUGAGUCCAAAAGAUCAAUAUAACUUCAAUUUUUCAAGUUGGUUCAUGGUGGUAGACCAGAGAAAGUCAACUGGUCAAAACUGGGGUUCACUAGACCCUAUCUCCUACAAUUUUUGUCAUAUGAAAAUUAUUCCAAGAGAAACAUUACUCUUUAUGUAAUUACAAACAACUUUCAUGUUGACAUAAAGAGCUAGUUUUGCUUGAAAAGUCAUUUUUUAUGGUGAAAGAUUAUAGGUCAUUUUGUCUAUGCCCUAGUUAGGAGGUCAACUUCCAAGGACCAUAACUUGCUCAAUCUUUAUGAGAUUGAAAUUCUGGUAUCAGAUAUGAGAUGUCGAAGGUAAUGUCAUGACACUAAUAUCUGAACAACAAGUGAAAUAUGAACAGAAUAAAAACCAGGAAACAAUUGAAAAAUGACACAAGCAAUUGUUAACCCAGUUCGGUGCAAACACACCUACGUCUAGGGGCUACCAAGCCAGGAAGGAAAUCCACUAAACAGAAUUAGUUCAAAGACUCUCAGUAAACAACUUCAAGUUACAGUCUUUUCACCUAAUCUCUACCCGUGUGAUUUCUAUCUAAGAACUCUUAGACAUGAGACCCUACUCACCCCCCCCCUCAAUCAUAACAGUGAUACUAGAACAAAUACCAAAAAGAAAGAAGACACACUUUAAGGACACACACUUGAUCUUGCUUAAAAGCUUCAAUUAAGUAAACAAAUACACUCGUACUUCAAAUCUUAGAGUGGACAAAUUACAACUCAAAAACUCAGUCCAAUUCACACAUCAACAAGAUGGAUGAAUGGCUCACAAUUCACAAACGCACACAAGACUAAAACCCUAAUACUCACUCACUUCACCGUUUAUGUUUUCUAUUUAUAAAACAGGGUUUACAUAGUCUUUAAAUAGAAGCUUUCUAAAUGGGCCUGGGUAGCAUGAAACCCUAAUUCUAUUUAUUGCGUAUUCCCUAAGAAAUAGCAGCGAAUCAUUCCUUUUCGGGAAACAGAAUAUUCUGGCUUUAAAUAGAAUUACUCCUUGAAUAAUGCAUGCAAUCCCCACAUAAGCACACAAAGACUUGCAUGAAAAGCGCAACAAAAAAAUACAUAACAUUCAGACUGAAUGUUCUGUAUGCACAUGUCGUAACAUCGGGUCUGACAUCUUGAAUAAAUCCUGCACAACCAUAUCAAACAACCUGCAGAAAGCUGAUAUCACAUGUCAAGACUACAAGCGUGACAUCUUGUGAUAACACUAAGUUUUACCAAAUUGAUGCCAAUUCAUAGAACCAACAAACUCCCCUUUGGAAAAUUUUGGCUAAAACAAUAGAUCACACAUUCACAAGAAAUCAAUCAGAGCAUCAGUUCAGCAGCAGAAGAAAACAUACACCACAUCACUAAGCAAAAAAUAACAACUAGUAAACACACAAGCACUUGCACAUACAACACUAGCAAGAACCAACUAGCAAACAUCAGGACACACAAGUGCUUGUACUCUCCCUCAAGUCCAUGCAACUUCCCAGAAGACAACAGCUCCCCCUUAAGCCAGUCCACAACAAACAACAACCACACUGCUUCACACAAACAGAACACAUAGAAUUCUCCCCCUUUACCAAACAAAUAAACACCAAAAUUCUCCCCCUGUAUCAGAAAAGCAGAGCAAGAACAAUACUACAGAGCUAAGCUAAGAUACUCAGCUACAUCUACAACUAUUUCUCCCCCUUUUUAGCCAAAAGAGACCAAAGAGACAAAAUAAAUGUCUAUCUAGUCAUUAACAGAAAUACCAGAAGUUAAAGAGUUACAUCACCAAGUACAUACAUAGUUGUAAGAAUUCUGAGAAACAAAAAAAAACACAAAGAAAUCCACCAAAAAACCAAGAAAACCAUCAAAACAAGAGGGACCAAAGCCAACAGAACUACUUAGUAGGGCUUGAGUUUGUAGCCUCUUCAGCAGCACCAGAAGUAGAGUUGCCACUCGCAUCAUCAUUGUUAGCAGACCUCUCAAUAGAGGUGUGGGCUUCAGCUUCUUCUUCAUGGCUGACAUUAGCAUGUUCAACAUUUUCACCCUCAGCCUACUCCAAGCUUUCAAUCAAGGCUUCCAAAGAUUGUUUUCUAGUUGUGGCUACCCUAAUCCCUUCACCUAGCUCUUUGCAUGUCUCCUUAAGCUCAGCAAUUGCUCCAACUUUUGAGACUGGCCUCCUCAUGGAAGCUCUUUGCAUGUCUCCUUAAGCUCAGCAAUUGCUCCAACUUUUGAGACUGGCCUCCUCAUGGCAGAUGUCAUGACAAUAUCCUCGACAUGACUGCCUUCAAAGAGUUUGUAGUGCACAGACAGAGCUGGUUUUCUCCUACUAGGUAAAUAAUUUGAGCACAGAAUACCAGGAUGUUGAUUCAAGAUAAUUCCAUAAAUCAUAGAGGGAAAAGCAAUUGGCAGCUUAACUGCAUUAGUAGUUCCAUGCUUGAUGAUUUGAUCAAACAUAUAUCUACCAUAUUCCAAUUUCACUUUUUUCCCAACACAAAAAUAAACCUCCCAAGAGUAUUAGCAAUGGUGGAGAUAUGGUUGGUAGGGACCCAGUUAGCAGCUCCUAUUUUAUGCAGGAUAGCAUACUUGAUAGUCAACUUCCCAGCAGAAAGAUGCUUUUUAAAAGGCCAAACUUUCACCUGCUUAGCUGUAAUCUCCCUACAUACCUGAUUGUCUGUAACCUCUAAUUCUCCUGCACCCUCAUUAUUUCUGCCUAGAAAAUUAUUAAUAACAGUAGGAGAGAAUGUUAUACACUUACCCCUCACAUACACCUUGCAGAACUCCUUGUUGUUCUUAUCAGAAAUAUCCUCAAGAAUAUUAACAAUAAAUUCCUUGACUAAACCUUCGUAGCAUUGAGAUAACCCAACAACAGUCUUCAAAAGCCCAUCAGCUUGUAUCAGGUCCAUGACCUCCUUGACAUCAACAACAUCUUUUUCCAAUUCCCUUUCCACAACUACCCUUCUCUGCAUCACAAAUUUCCACUUAGCAGCUCCAUCCUCAAGAUGGAAGGAGAUGUUAUCCAAAUGAAUAACAGGUACUUUAAUAGGAGACUUAGUAACAGUAGUUUUCUUCGCAGGCGAGAUGUUAGUGACAUCUUCCUCAACAUCCUCUUCAGGCUCAAAACCUUCUCUGACCUUCCUCUUCUUUAUUUCAACCUUGCUCCAUGGUUUGGAGGGACCAAUAACAACAGUCUUGUUAGCUUUUCUAGCUGACAUAAGUUCAGCCACAGAUUUUCCUUUGUGAGUCUUCAUGCGUUUAGCCACACUUGGCUUUAUGUGAUGAAUCAAGCUUUCCUCUUGAUCAUCAGAGCUACCAUCCUCUAGAUCAAUCACAAUAUUUGCAUCAUCAUGCUUCUCAGAGUGGGAAGCAUUAGCCGUGUUAGAGGCCACAUAUUUCCCUUUGUCAGACACGGUUUGCCCUAGAGAGCACAACCCUUCAGUAGCCAAGGCCUUUUUAGAACUGGAGGAAUCACCACCCUUACCACUAGGUUGUUCAACCUCAGGAGGGGGAUACAUUUGAGCAAGGGGAGUAGAAACCCCCUUCACAGAGUGACCUUCAUUAAGAAUUCUAGUAACUAUGUCUCUUGUAACACGAUCAGUAUAGUGUGUUCCUUCCUUAUACUUAGUGACAUGAGUUGAACCAGACCGAAUAUUAGAGGGAUUACCUUGAUUGGAACAUGCAGAAGCGGAGGUAUUAAUGGAGAUGGGUUGGUUCAAAUCAAUGUCCGUGGCGGGAAUAACAGAGAGAAGAGCAACAUCCAGAAUCUCAUCAUCAGGGACGCCCAUGGGAGGAACACUAAAUUUUGGAGUAGACUUAGUAUUUUUAGAAGCAAAUGUAUCUUGAUGUUGUGACAUUUUGGAGUUUUUCUGGAAAAAGUAAGGUUGCCCUAGCAGAGGUUUGUGGAGAAGGAAAAGGAAGAUGGAAUAGUUGGAGUAGGUAAUGGGGUUAUGGGGUUAGGUGUGAAGAUAGAAUAGAUGGUAUUUCCAAUACAAGGUAAUGAUUUACCAUAAUGGGGGCACUUUUUUUUAGGAAAAUAGACUAUAAUUUGAGUACUUUUUCCACUCCAUAUUAAUUUCUACAAUUUUCAUAAAUGCAAAUCCCUAAUCUCCCUCUCAGGAAUUCAAAUUGAUUUGCAUCCAAGCCUUUGUCAAAAUAUCAGCUAACUGCAUCUCAGUAGCAACAUGCCAAGGCUACAAUCUUAUCCUCCACAAGUUCUCUAAUAAAAUGGUGACGGGAUAAUCAAUAUGUUUGGUCCUGCUGUGCUGAAUAGGGUUCUUUGAGAUGUUUAUAGCACUCAGGUUGUCAUAGUACAAUGUCAUGACAUCUUGUGUGACAUUGUAUUCAGUCAGCAUUUGUUUCAUCUACACCAGUUGAGAACAACUACUUCCAGCUGCUAUAUAUUCAGCUUCAGCAGUAGACAGAGAAACACAAUUUUGCUUCUUACUAAACCAUGAUAUUAGAUUGUUCCCCAAGAAGAAACAUCCUCCUGAUGUGCUUUUCUUAUCAUCAGCGCUUCCAGCCCAAUCAACAUCACAAUAGCCAGAUAACACAUAAUCAGGUCCAUGAGUGUAUAGCAUCCCAUAGUCACAAGUGCCAUUGACAUAUUUUAGGAUCCUUUUCACUUGGUUUAUAUGGCUCACCUUUGGUUCAUCUUGAUAUCUAGCACAUACACCUACAGCAAAAGCAAUGUCAGGUCUGCUUGCUGUAAGAUAUAGCAGACUCUCUAUCAUGCUUCUGUAGAGACUUUGAUCCACACUGACACCAUUUUCAUCUUUAGACAACUUCAGAUGAGUAGGAGCAAGUGUCCUCUUGUGGCUUGCAUUCUCCAUGCCAAACUUCUUAACUAUAUUCUUGACAUAUUUACUUUGAGAUAGAAAGAUAGAAUCUCCCAUCUGCUUGACUUGCAGGCCAAGAAAAAAAGUUAGUUCUCCGACAAGACUCAUCUCAAAUUCAGACUACAUUUGUUCAACAAAAUGUUGAACCAUCUUACUUGACAACCCACCAAACACAAUAUCAUCCACAUAGAUCUGAGCAAUCAUGAGCUUUCCUCCUUCAUCUUUGACAAAUAAAUUCUUAUCAAUGCCUCCCUUUCUGUAUCCAUUGUCAAUGAGAAACACUGUGAGUCUCUCAUACCAAGCUCUAGGAGCUUGUUUCAACCCAUAAAGAGCUUUCCUCAACUUAUACACAUGCUUUGGAAGAUUUGGAUCUGUGAAUCCCUUUGGUUGUUCAACAUAUACUUCCUCAUUCAAGUAGCCAUUUAAGAAGGCACUUUUCACAUCCAUUUGGAACAUUUUAAACCUUCAGAAUACAUGCCACUCCUAGCAAUAAUCUAAUGGGCUCCAGGCGAGCUACAAGUGCCAAUGUUUCUCAAAGUCAACUCCUUCAACUUGAGUGUAUCCUUGAGCUACUAACCUUGCUUUAUUCCUAGUAACCACACCUUUUUCAUCAGAUUUAUUCUUGUAUACCCACUUUGUUCCAAUAACAUUUAUUCUUUCAGGUCUUGGAACCAAAUCCCAUACUUCAUUUCUCUUGAAUUGGCCUAACUCUUCAUGCAUGGCAUUGAUCCAAAAUUCAUCAGUUAAAGCUUCUUUAACAUUCUUAGGCUCAAUCUUUGAUACAAAACAGGCAUGUCAGAUCACUUCCCUUGAUCUAGUGGAGACUCCUUUAUUUAGAUCUCCUAUAAUGAGAUCUUUAGGAUGCUCCUUCUGAAUUCUGAUAGAGGGUCCCUUGUUUACUUGAUCAGCUUCAGGUUCAACCUGGGUGGACUCACUCUCACUACUUUUAUCAGAAGGUUCAGCUGGGGCAUCAUUCAGAAAUGUUUCAACAUCGUCUGUGACACCAGUCUCUUGAUCAUCAACAACAACAUUGAUAGAUUCCAUCAUAACUUUAGUUUUGGAAUUAAAGACUCUAAAGGCUCUGUUGUUUGUUGAGUAGCCCAGAAAUAUUCCUUCAUCACUCUUGGGGUCCAUUUUCCUUCUUGUCAUACCCCAAUUUUGUCCAGACAUUUUUAAAUCUUACAUAAGUUUGAUUUCAUUUUCAAAUUGCAUCAUAUGCAUAUCAUGACAUGCAUUUCAUCAUGAAUAAUACCUAAAAUAUCAGUCGGAAUAAAUUAUUGAAAAUACGAAUAAAUCAGUUGAAUCAUUUCUCAUAAAACGUGCAAAAUCAGCGGGUAAAAAGUUUCAAAAUUAAAACUGCAGACGCCAGUAUUAUCAAUCUACGAUUCGCAUAGUUCAGCCUGGUGUGCUCAUUAUAUUUUUCAACGACUUUUUCAAUCGCAUUUUGAUCCGUCUGAGCCUGUUAACCGGUGAAGAAACACUGUAUUUUUUUAAUAUGUAUAUUUUGUGGUGAUCAUUUUAGUGCGUCCGAUUUAAUUUUUCGAGCAAAUUUUUUCCCGAUUUUUAUUCAUUUCUAGUCGUUUUAAUUUUAUUCUUUCGCCAAAAUGUUCAAAAUAAAUAAAAAGAAUUUUCCAUGCUUUUAUUUUAUUUUUACCACAUCUAUUUCCAAAGUCAUGAAUUUUAUUUGAUUUAAUUGGUUUAAAUUGUUUUAAAUCAAUUAAAUCAUUUAGAAGAGACAUUUUGACAAUUAAAUUAUUUGUGUGAUUCUUUGAUUCGAUCCCGAUCAUCGAUUCAAAUUUAUCAGUGGUCUGUGUCAAAUAAUCGAUGUGCAUUUUGUUAUCCAAUCGAAACUAUAAGUUAAUUAAUUUGAUAUUAUUAAAAGAAAUUAAAAAAGGCCGGAAAAAUAAAGAGUUUGUUUCUAUCCAUUCACAUGUGACACAUGCUCAUCACCUAGAAGGACCACUCCCAACGUAAAGGAGAUAUGCUCCCUGUCUCAUGAGCUGGCGAGGAAAGGAGGAUAAGGUUAGGAAAUAAUAUCUCCUUGUAGCCAAUAACGGAUAGCCACAUGUCCGAUUCUCUAAAAAAAGAAAAUAAAAAAGAAUCUAUCCAAUCAUUUUAGAGAUCCACGAAAUCCACUCAAAACUUCUCCACCUACUACUCUCUUCUCUCUCUCGGGACUCAAAAAAAUAAAAAAAUAAAACUCCACUUAAUAAAGGAUUUCCACUCAUAACAUCACUCGUUCACCUCGGGAAGGAUAACUACUCCAUCUCUCUGAAAAGAAAAAGAGAAAAAUUAAUAAACUUUUCGUCUCCUUCCUCAAAAAUCCACCGCCGACCUCUCCCUCCAUCGCCGUCCAAUCGGAGAACCACACAACGGUUUCCAAACCGCUUCCACUCACCGGCAAAACCAACCGUCACUCCUUUCUUCGCCGUCGACCAUACGGGCCCGUCACCAUCUCCGCCAUCUUCAUCAUCGAACGUCGAUGAGCACCAACAAGCGCCGUCACAAACCCGUCGCACUCCAUCACCCUUCUAAAUCCCUCCGUCCGCGACUCCAAAUAACCGCCGUCACAACAUCCACUUCUCCCGCAUCGGCAAACGAAACCACCCUAUCAACCUUGUCCGAUGCCCCACAAUCAGACUCUUUUCUUCUCUCUUCCAUAAAUCGUAGAUCUACCACCGAACAACGGCAUCAACCUUCACGGUUCCGCCACAACAACAAUAUAAAUAAUACCUCACAAAUUCCAACAUUCCAAGGCGGCAUCAUUUUUACAUCCAGAUCGAGCAUACCCACUAAAACCUCACGGCCAUCCUAAGAUAUCGCAAGCUUAGAACGAAUGAGGUUUACUGAUGCAUAAGCUUGGAAGGUUUUAAAAGCAAUUUAUUCAUUUUGCUGAGAUAUGACAACAUCAAAAAUUACAUGGCAAAAUGAUGGGUUUUCUGUCAACAUACGUCACCGCCUCCGAGUACAUGUUCGUUUCUUCUCUUUUGAGUUGUUUCACUCUACUUUUGAAUUGCCCUUUUACUUAUGAAAUAAACCUGUGUUGUAUGUGUGAUAGAAUUUUUUUAUUAAAGUUUAUUAUGUGUGAUAGAAUUUUUUUAUUAUUAAAGUUUAUGUAGUUUUACGGUUCAGAAAAGAUAUAAGAGGAAAAACUUCAUGGUUUAGUCUUUACGUCUUUAUCCAUGCCACUAUUUUUGAUUGAAUGCUCUUAGUUUUUGGUUAAGAAUAAAAGAGUGCAUGUGUUGUCUACUUUAGAAGAAAUCAAAUCUAUUCUUUUUUUAUUUCUUUUUCAUAUUUAUUAUGUAUGGGAUGUUAAGAUGGGUUUUAGUUUGGUCUCCUCUAAAUUAAGCCCAUUAAGCAUCUUUUCACCCCCUAUAGUUUGUAAUAUAUUUAUGUUAUUACUAUUUGAUUUUGAUUUCAUUUGUUUUAAAGUCGGAUUUUAAUCCCCGGAUUCGACAAACUUAUGUCGUUAUGCUGCCCAAGUUUCUAUACAGUGAUUGAGAAUUUUCACCGCGUUUCGGUCCUUACAUACGACAUUUCAACUCCGUUGUCGCUAUGUACAAACCGGUUCUUG